rnacentral:rRNA from 1 species
CCGUGGGCGCUGGAGAAUUGAGGGGGGCUGCUCCUAGUACGAGAGGACCGGAGUGGACGCAUCACUGGUGUUCGGGUUGUCAUGCCAAUGGCAUUGCCCGGUAGCUAAAUGCGGAAGAGAUAAGUGCUGAAAGCAUCUAAGCACGAAACUUGCCCCGAGAUGAGUUCUCCCUGACCCUUUAAGGGUCCUGAAGGAACGUUGAAGACGACGACGUUGAUAGGUCGGGUGUGUAAGCGUAGCGAUACGUUGAGCUAACCGAUACUAAUGAACCGUGAGGCUUAACCUUACAACGCCGAAGGUGUUU